AGAACGAACGUUGGCGGCAUGGAUUAGGCAUGCAAGUCGAACGAGAACCCCGCAAGGGGGGAAAGUGGCGAAAGGGGCAGUAAUGCAUGGGUAAUCUACCCUGGGGACGUGGAUAGCUAUCCUAACGGGUAGGUAAUACACGGCGAUUCGGCGAAGGGGCAUCCUUUUGCCGGGAAAUGAAUUUCGCCUCAGGAGGAACUCAUGUCGUAUUAGCUUGUUGGCGGGGUAACGGCCCACCAAGGCAAAGAUGCGUAGCGGGUGUGAGAGCACGACCCGCGCCACUGGCACUGAGACACUGGCCAGACACCUACGGGUGGCUGCAGUCGAGGAUCUUCGGCAAGUGGGCGCAAGCCUGACCGAGCGACGCCGCGUGUGCGACGAAGGCCUUCGGUGUAAAGCACUGUCGAGGGAGAAGCGAAGGUUGACCUAUCCCUGGAGAGCGACGGGCUAAGUCGUAGCCAGCAGCCG
rnacentral:rRNA from 1 species